UGUUUCGGCUAGGGGGCCAUCCCGGCUUACCAACCCGAUGCAAACUGCGAAUACCGGAGAAUGUUAUCACGGGAGACACACGGCGGGUGCUAACGUCCGUCGUGAAGAGGGAAACAACCCAGACCGCCAGCUAAGGUCCCAAAGUCAUGGUUAAGUGGGAAACGAUGUGGGAAGGCCCAGACAGCCAGGAUGUUGGCUUAGAAGCAGCCAUCAUUUAAAGAAAGCGUAAUAGCUCACUGGUCGAGUCGGCCUGCGCGGAAGAUGUAACGGGGCUAAACCAUGCACCGAAGCUGCGGCAGCGACGCUUAUGCGUUGUUGGGUAGGGGAGCGUUCUGUAAGCCUGUGAAGGUGGCCUGUGAGGGUUGCUGGAGGUAUCAGAAGUGCGAAUGCUGACAUAAGUAACGAUAAAGCGGGUGAAAAGCCCGCUCGCCGGAAGACCAAGGGUUCCUGUCCAACGUUAAUCGGGGCAGGGUGAGUCGACCCCUAAGGCGAGGCCGAAAGGCGUAGUCGAUGGGAAACGGGUUAAUAUUCCCGUACUUGGUGUUACUGCGAAGGGGGGACGGAGAAGGCUAUGUUGGCCGGGCGACGGUU
rnacentral:rRNA from 2 species